rnacentral:rRNA from 1 species
GUGUCAGCAGCCGCGGUAAUACGUAGGUGGCAAGCGUUGUCCGGAUUUACUGGGCGUAAAGGGCGUGCAGGCGGUUUGUUAAGUCUAGGGUGAAAGCUCCCGGCUCAACUGGGAGAGGUCCUUGGAUACUGGCAGACUUGAGGAGGGUAGAGGAGAGUGGAAUUCCCGGUGUAGUGGUGAUAUGCGUAGAUAUCGGGAGGAACACCAGUGGCGAAGGCGGCUCUCUGGGCCCUACCUGACGCUGAGACGCGAAAGCGUGGGGAGCGAACCGGAUUAGAUACCCUAGUAGUCC